AUGUUUCAUGCAUUACGAAACUCGUUUGACUGAGCAACAUAUUACAGUGCAUAUGGUUCUAUGAUUUCUAAUAAUGUAAUGAUUUGACCUGCACUGUCAUGCACUCGGCUUUUCAUAACCGUAUCAAAUUAUUGAUUGCUGAUUUGGUGAACCCCACAAAUGAGCAAAUUAACUUAAAUCAAUGGAUUUAUUUUUUCAAUGAAAGAACCCAGUAUAUAGUAGUUCGAAUGAGGGCAUUUCACCAAGUCAAUACCUGGAGGCGACAGUCCGAACCCAAGAGGGACAGUCACAGAUGAAGCGAUCAAGAAAAAGGAGAGGAAUGAAAUGCAUGACCUUCUGGCUCUCCUCUCUGCUCAGGCCCCAGCAGAACAGGCCCAGCUCUCACAGUGGUCUUCUCUACAGGCUGUCCUGCUCCGCUCCCCUUUGGCACCAGCUCCUGCCACUACAAAAGAGGAUUCCUCUGAAGAGUUCCUGCUGGAUACAGAUCUUCCAAGCACACCUCUGCCAGCCACAUCACCACUGCCAUUGAUAGCUUCUCCACUGGACCCAUCAAGAGAUGAGGUUGCCUCUUCAUCUUGGACCACGGCCGAUGGACAGAGUCCCUUGAAGCUGCCAGUGAUGUCCUACUGGCCAAGCACCAUGGGGAGGAAGAGAUCCUGAAGUGGGUAGAUUUGCUUUGCUCUCAACACCAGUCCAGAGAAGCUCCUAGAGACACACAGCUGUGACAUUAUUUUACUGCAGAGAGUAAAAUGGUCAGUGUCCCAGUCACGUCCCCUACCACCUGCACUUACACAGCAGAAAGCCUCACCAAUUCAAGGAUUCCAUUUCAGUAUUUUGCUGCCGCUGCCUUCUUUCAAUGGGAGCUGGAGGCCUCGAAGCAGAGGGAGGCUGUGAGGAAGGAGCAAACUGAAGAAAGAGAAAAUCCUUAGAGCAACAUCCCUCUGUCCAUCUGUACAGGUUCUGCCACCAGUCGCUGAAACAAGGCUCCAACAGCCAUCCAACAGCUUUCCUUGAGUGGCAGGAAAAUAUCUACUGCCUAGCCAAAGUUUUUUCUCUGUGCCUGAUACAGGGCAUUGGCGGAUGCGCCAACAGUCUGCCUUUUAAUGAGACUGAAAAGUAGAUGGAUGGUGGGGAAGGGAGAGUGACUGAAAUAAAUAGGAGCUGAACAUUUCCAUUGAUGGAAGUGGUUUGUUUGAUUUUGUAUUUAUUUCACAGGUACUGUUCAUUCUUUUACUUUACUGUACAUACAUUGCUGUAUAUCACUGGAUAUAUUAUCAGGGCUGUAAAGUACUUAGGUAAAAAUACUUUAAAGUACUACUUAAAUCGUUUUUUGGGGUGUCUGUACUUUA